UGGGUAGAGAGAAACAUAAAUCUGGCUUACGUGCACAUCCAGGCAUAGUACCUUCCCUUGAACUUCAUUAUGACGUAGAUUCUAUUGCUCACAUGUUUGUUGCUGACCUUCUCCUUAUUAUCACCCUGCCCUCCUACUACAUUCCUUUUUGCUGAAAUAAUGAAGAUAAUAACCAAUAAAAACUGAGGGAACUCAGAGACCGGUGCCGGUGCAGGACCUUGGUAUGCUGAGCACCGGUCCCCUGGGCCCACUGUUGUUUUCUCACGUUUUCUCACCUUUCCAAACGUGUCCAUGCCUAGAAGCUGGAGACCCCAUCCACACUGCAGUACCAGGGAUUCUUCCUGGGCAGUGUAUAGCAGGUCAGAAAUGCCACUCGGCCCCUCGUAACUGCAAAGGGACUGAAAGGUGUGGUCUCCCAGAGGUCCAGGAAGGAAAGAAGCCCUGGGAAGUUUCCCACAAGGCCCAGCUUCUUCUCAAGGAGACUGUGGAUAAGGAAAGAAGGCAGGCAAGGCUGCUGUGCUGGAAAGAAGGUGGAGCUCCCCAGAAGCAGACUGCAGAGAACGGAGUGCAGGAAGAUUCCCAAAGAGAGCCUCGGGAUGAACGCCUACGGAGAAGGUGGCAGUGGGAUCAGGCAGAUGGAGAGGCUGGCUGCGAUGCAGUCACAACCAGGCCUCCACUGAGCCCACGAGGAACCCUGAAACUGGGAUGGCCCUUCAGAGUUAUCCCCAGCUGGAGCAUGGACCAGGCCUUUACAUCUUCCCCUUCGAUCAGACAGGAGGUCCCAUGUGGAUUCUGGAAUCAGAAAAGCCUGCUUCCUGAGUUUGAAUCCAGUCUUCAUCCUUCAACUGUGGGACCCUGGACAAGAACCAACAUCUUCCAGCAGAGACCACCAAGAACACACUUGUGGUUGAAUAAGCCAGGUUUAUUAAUUACUGCAGUGAGAGAGAAUACACACCAGGGUGUCUUAGUAAGAGGGAGUUAGACAAAACCUAUGAUAGAAUUGGGGUUGGUAUGAGAGAUUUGGGGGGAGGGUAAGUGUAUUAGUCCAUUUUCACGCUGCUGAUGAAGACAUACCUGAGACUGGGAAGAAAAAGAGGUUCAA